CCAGGAGACUUGCGGGCACACCCCAGCCCCUAGGAAGACAUGUAGGGCGGGGAGCUCAGUACCAUAUAUCAGCACGGGGGAGGAGGCUAAACUGGACUCGUGGGUCCGGAGCAUCUGACGUGGAACUGAAAAAUAAAGAAUGGGAUGCCAGGGCGGGAAGGUGAAGGGCAUAUAAUCCCAGCCUUGUUUUAAGCAGGAGUUCUCUGCCACUCAGGGCAUCUACGGUUACCCAGCGACCUACCCCAGCUGGGACCCAGGCUUGCUCACCUCCUCAGCCCAGCUCACUCUCGGUUUGGGGGGUCGUUUGGUCCUUCGGGACUCAAAGGGGGCUCUGUUCUUAGUGAUGCCUUUCCGUGACUUUGACGGAUGCCAUCAGCUGAAAGAGGGCUCGGGGGGGGCAAAAGCCACACAAGAAUGAUGCCACAGGCAGCCCCUGGGGACCCAGACCAGCCUUGGUGCCUGGCCAAGGGACCGCCGGCAGCAUCUUUCCGGGGGCUCCCCCUCUCUCCCUCAUCAGCUGGCCCAUCCCUCAGUUUCCUCAUCCAGAGAAGGGAUGCGUGAUCCCAGGAGGAGGCCUCCGAUGAUGUCAAGUGGGUGGAGGAAAUUACGAAACAAGGUACUUUGAGCCUCCCAGCGGGAAAUUGGGGUAAAUUCCUGAUAUCCGGUACUGCGUGCUUUUCUUGGAGGAGCAGGCUGGAUGUGACGGCUGCAGACACCUGCUGGCUUUCAGGAGAUUCCUCUCUGCUCCACCACAGAGAUCUUCUUUCCUGCUGACUGGGAUGGAGAUGUAAGGGCCGGUGCUGAAGUGGCCACCGUGAGCAAGGUGGCUCUGGACAAAGAGGACCUAUGUGGUAGGUUAAUCAACCUCAUCCUGAGGUCAUUAUGAAGGAGCAGACCAGCCCUGACCUGCCUGACUCCAAACAGGACACUCAGAUAGAACAGAAGCUAGCCUCCAUUUCAAGCCUCGCUGUUUCCCCAUCACACGUUCUGGUUAUCGCCGGACAAGUUCCUCACUUGUAAGACCAGCAAAGACAGUUACUCAACCCAAGAUGCUUAAGGAAGCCCCCCAGGAUCAACGUGGUCACCCCAUCCUGCUGCCCUGAGGGUCGUCCAGUUCGGCAGACACUGGCCCAGUGCCUCCUGCUCCUGGCACUGGGAAUGCCAAGAGGCUUCAAGGUGACCACUGCCCUCGCAGCCAUCCUUGGUCAGAGGGUGUCCAGCCACGUCCGACAGCAGGCUCAGCCCGACGAUGGGCGUGGUGUGCAGGACGGUCCACGGGCCUCCACCCGGGAACUCCGUGGUAAAGAUGUGACUCAGGAAACAGGAGUGAGCGGCCACGCUCAGGCCACCUCCGAUGCCUUCUUCUCCGUGGAUCAUUGAAUUACAUGCAUAUUUCAGUGAAGAUGAUUAUCUCCUUGCUGGUUUCGGAAGAUGUAUUUAGGGGAGGUAUUUCAAUUCUGUUGUCAUUUAAAACUAAAAAUCAAAACAUCAUUUUUGAUGUCCAGGGUUCUUUCUUCCGCCGAAAUACACACUGUGGUGUGUUACAAUCAUGUCUCCACCAUUUGCGCCUUAGAUGUACUUGUAGAGAGGAGCAAAGGGGCUCUAAAUCACUUGCACAUUUCAUGUUGACAGCGUCCCACGCUAGCACGACGGAUGGGAAGGGAGGCUCCAGCUUGGCUUUUAAUACUGGUGACCCAGGCUCACCCACUCACAGGCGCUCCCCACCUGAUCUCAGUGGCAGCUGCUCUUCCGCCCUCUACUCCGUGGACUCGGUGUGCUUAAAAGUUGUACAGGGUGAAUGGGAGUCUUUGGCUUUUCCAAGUGAGCCUCCCCGCCUAGGCAGGACGAGCUGCCUUCCAAUUCCUUGGGCAGGUGAUGACAACCAGAGCUAACUGACACUUACUGAGCACAUACUGUGCACCAGGUCCUUGUCUAAAUGCUCUCUGUUCCCUGAUGGGUUUGACUGUCCUAAUAACCCCAAUCCAGGUUGCUGGGAUUAAAUCCCAGUUCUGCUGAGCUGUGUGACUCUGGGCAAAUACUAAACCUCUCUGUGCCUCAGAAGGAUCCAUGGAGAAAGUAGCAGGGCCAGAAGGGAUUACAUCUGCAGUGCUCUUAAGAGG
ensembl:lncRNA